rnacentral:rRNA from 1 species
UCAAUAAGCGGAGGAAAAGAAACUAACAAGGAUUCCCCUAGUAACGGCGAGUGAAGCGGGAAGAGCUCAAGCUUAAAAUCUCCAUACUUUUGUAUGGCGAAUUGUAGUCUAUAGAAGCGCUAUCAGCAUAGCAAUAUGGGAUAAGUCCCUUGGAAAAGGGUAGCAUAGAGGGUGAUACUCCCGUCUUUGCCCAGGUUGUCUAUGUGUACGAUACGUUUUCUUUGAGUCGAGUUGUUUGGGAAUACAGCUCAAAGUAGGUGGUAAAUUCCAUCUAAAGCUAAAUAUUGGUGCGAGACCGAUAGCGAACAAGUACCGUGAGGGAAAGAUGAAAAGAACUUUGAAAAGAGAGUUAAAGAGUACCUGAAACUGUUGAAAGGGAACCGUAACAUAUCCAGUGUUGUAUCUCUUAUAUAUUUCACUAGUACAGCAAUGCACUGGUGCCCUGUAUAGGAGUGUGACGUCAAAGUCAGUUUGUAUAUUGCGGGAGAUGGUUUGUAAGGAGGUGUGUCACUUUUGUGUCAGUUAUACCUUAUAAACUAGUUGCCGUGGUUGAGACUGAGGUGCCUACAACAUGCUUAUCGAGUCUAUGUGUAUCUCGUUGUUAUACUUGUUUGGAUAGCUUGCUAUGCUAAUGAACUAUAAUGGCGAUUGAUAUAUGUAGUUACUUGUUGCUGUUCGGGACUUUGACGAAAUGGAAUGU